CGAGCCGAGAGCCGCCAAGGAGAUCUUGGGCUGGACCAGCACCACCAACCUCCCGGAGGAUCUCAAGGAGCGGUUCAGCGAGUACAUCAGCAUCGGCCGCGACAAGAAGGAGAUCAAGUUCGAUCUCGAUGACAAGAUUCUGGAGUCCCUCAAGGUGGCGGUCACCGCCUGAGACGAGCGAGCCGCCGCCUCUAAUCAGACAGAAGCAUGAGCCCGGCCUCAGAGGAGAGCUCUCUUCUUCCUGUACGUACCCAUUUUCCUCCUCCAUUUCUCUCUCUGCCUGCCUGCCUGCCUGCCUGCCUGCCUGCAUGCCCUCUGUGAUACAUACAUACACAACAGGCUGAUCAUCUGGCGCCAGAAACUUAUCAUGGAAUAUUGUUCUUAUUGCCCAUGAAAUCUUAUGAAAAGGGGAUUAUAAAAGCGGAUGAUCUAUGAUGGUUCUAGCAUUAUCCAUG
rnacentral:lncRNA from 1 species